rnacentral:rRNA from 2 species
UUAAGUUAGAAAGGGCGCACGGUGAAUGCCUUGGCACUAGGAGCCGAUGAAGGACGGGACUAACACCGAUAUGCUUCGGGGAGCUGUAAGUGAGCUUUGAUCCGGAGAUUUCCGAAUGGGGAAACCCACUGUUCGUAAUGGAACAGUAUCUUUAUCUGAAUACAUAGGAUAUUGAAGGCAGACCCGGGGAACUGAAACAUCUAAGUACCCGGAGGAAGAGAAAGCAAAUGCGAUUUCCUGAGUAGCGGCGAGCGAAACGGAAUUAGCCCAAACCAAGAGGCUUGCCUCUUGGGGUUGUAGGACACUCUAUACGGAGUUACAAAGGAACGAAGUAAAUGAAGCGACCUGGAAAGGUCCGUCGAAGAAGGUAACAACCCUGUAGUUGAAACUUCGUUCCCUCUUGAGUGGAUCCUGAGUACGGCGGAACACGUGAAAUUCCGUCGGAAGCUGGGAGGACCAUCUCCCAAGGCUAAAUACUACCUAGUGACCGAUAGUGAACCAGUACCGUGAGGGAAAGGUGAAAAGCACCCCGGAAGGGGAGUGAAAGAGAUCCUGAAACCGUGUGCCUACAAGUAGUCAGAGCCCGUUAACGGGUGAUGGCGUGCCUUUUGUAGAAUGAACCGGCGAGUUACGAUCCCAUGCAAGGUUAAGCUGAUAAGGCGGAGCCGUAGCGAAAGCGAGUCUGAAUAGGGCGUUUAGUAUGUGGUUGUAGACCCGAAACCAGGUGAUCUACCCAUGUCCAGGGUGAAGUUCAGGUAACACUGAAUGGAGGCCCGAACCCACGCACGUUGAAAAGUGCGGGGAUGAGGUGUGGGUAGCGGAGAAAUUCCAAUCGAACCUGGAGAUAGCUGGUUCUCUCCGAAAUAGCUUUAGGGCUAGCCUCAUGUUGUGAGAGUCUUGGAGGUAGAGCACUGAUUGGACUAGGGGCCCCCAACGGGUUACCGAAUUCAGUCAAACUCCGAAUGCCAAAGACUUAUCCAUGGGAGUCAGACUGCGAGUGAUAAGAUCCGUAGUCAAAAGGGAAACAGCCCAGACCACCAGCUAAGGUCCCCAAGUAUACGUUAAGUGGAAAAGGAUGUGGAGUUGCUUAGACAACCAGGAUGUUGGCUUAGAAGCAGCCACCAUUUAAAGAGUGCGUAAUAGCUCACUGGUCGAGUGACUCUGCGCCGAAAAUGUACCGGGGCUAAACGUAUCACCGAAGCUGUGGAUUGACAUCUUUGAUGUCAGUGGUAGGAGAGCGUUCUAAGUGCAGCGAAGUCAGACCGUAAGGACUGGUGGAGCGCUUAGAAGUGAGAAUGCCGGUAUGAGUAGCGAAAGACAAGUGAGAAUCUUGUCCACCGAAUGCCUAAGGUUUCCUGAGGAAGGCUCGUCCGCUCAGGGUUAGUCGGGACCUAAGCCGAGGCUGAAAAGCGUAGGCGAUGGCCAACAGGUUGAUAUUCCUGUACCACCUCCCCGCCGUUUGAGUAAUGGGGGGACGCAGUAGGAUAGGGUAAGCGCGCUGCUGGAUAUGCGCGUUCAAGCAGUUAGGCUGAUGAGUAGGCAAAUCCGCUCAUCAUAAAGGCUGAGCUGUGAUGACGAGGGAAUUAUAGUACCGAAGUUCCUGAUUCCACACUGCCAAGAAAAGCCUCUAGCGAGGCGGGAGGUGCCCGUACCGCAAACCGACACAGGUAGGCGAGGAGAGAAUCCUAAGGUGAUCGAGAGAACUCUCGUUAAGGAACUCGGCAAAAUGACCCCGUAACUUCGGGAGAAGGGGUGCUCUGGUAGGGUGUAUAGCCCGAGAGAGCCGCAGUGAAUAGGCCCAGGCGACUGUUUAGCAAAAACACAGGUCUCUGCGAAGCCGCAAGGCGAAGUAUAGGGGCUGACGCCUGCCCGGUGCUGGAAGGUUAAGAGGAGGGGUUAUCCUUUGGGAGAAGCUCUAAAUCGAAGCCCCAGUAAACGGCGGCCGUAACUAUAACGGUCCUAAGGUAGCGAAAUUCCUUGUCGGGUAAGUUCCGACCCGCACGAAAGGCGUAACGAUCUGGGCACUGUCUCAACGAGAGACUCGGUGAAAUUAUAGUACCUGUGAAGAUGCAGGUUACCCGCGACAGGACGGAAAGACCCCGUGGAGCUUUACUGUAGCCUGAUAUUGAAUUUUGGUACAGCUUGUACAGGAUAGGUAGGAGCCUGAGAAGCCGGAGCGCUAGCUUCGGUGGAGGCGUCGGUGGGAUACUACCCUGGCUGUAUUGAAAUUCUAACCCGCGGCCCUGAUCGGGCCGGGAGACAGUGUCAGGUGGGCAGUUUGACUGGGGCGGUCGCCUCCUAAAAUGUAACGGAGGCGCCCAAAGGUUCCCUCAGAAUGGUUGGAAAUCAUUCGUAGAGUGUAAAGGCACAAGGGAGCUUGACUGCGAGACCUACAAGUCGAGCAGGGACGAAAGUCGGGCUUAGUGAUCCGGUGGUUCCGCAUGGAAGGGCCAUCGCUCAACGGAUAAAAGCUACCCCGGGGAUAACAGGCUUAUCUCCCCCAAGAGUCCACAUCGACGGGGAGGUUUGGCACCUCGAUGUCGGCUCAUCGCAUCCUGGGGCUGUAGUCGGUCCCAAGGGUUGGGCUGUUCGCCCAUUAAAGCGGUACGCGAGCUGGGUUCAGAACGUCGUGAGACAGUUCGGUCCCUAUCCGUCGUGGGCGUAGGAAAUUUGAGAGGAGCUGUCCUUAGUACGAGAGGACCGGGAUGGACACACCGCUGGUGUACCAGUUGUCUUGCCAAAGGCAUCGCUGGGUAGCUAUGUGUGGACGGGAUAAGUGCUGAAAGCAUCUAAGCAUGAAGCCCCCCUCAAGAUGAGAUUUCCCAUAGCGCAAGCUAGUAAGAUCCCUGAAAGAUGAUCAGGUUGAUAGGUCAGAGGUGGAAGCGUGGCGACAUGUGUAGCUGACUGAUACUAAUCGAUCGAGGACUUAACCAA